CCUGUUUCCUGUUCUGUCCACGGCUGCUGCACUACAGACCUCUGCUGGCACCGGGUCUCAGCCUGAUGACCCACUCCCCUCCGGGGUUGUUGUUGUACAGAUCCAGGAGCUCAGUGAGCAGAAGGACGCGCACAUGUCACCGCUGCUCCGCUCACAGCCCUCAACUCACCGAUGUUUCCUCCCACCUCGUACACAGCGCAGUCUGAAUAAGUCACAGAGCCAUUCCUGUGGAGAGACACAAACACCGGAGUUUCAGGGCUACGAAGGAACUGACGGUGAAACUGAGAGAGCAGGUCAGAGGUUCGUGAGUUGAUGCUGAGCUGAAACUCCAUGGUGCCUCUCACCAGCUCCCCC